rnacentral:rRNA from 1 species
GACGAACGCUGGCGGCGUGCUUAACACAUGCAAGUCGAACGGUAAGGCUCCAGCUUGCUGGGGUACACGAGUGGCGAACGGGUGAGUAACACGUGGGUGACCUGCCCUGCACUUCGGGAUAAGCCUGGGAACCUGGGUCUAAUACCGGAUAGGACCGCACCGUGAGGGUGUGGUGGAAAGUUUUUUCGGUGUGGGAUGGGCCCGCGGCCUAUCAGCUUGUUGGUGGGGUAAUGGCCUACCAAGGCGGCGACGGGUAGCCGGCCUGAGAGGGUGGACGGCCACAUUGGGACUGAGACACGGCCCAGACUCCUACGGGAGGCAGCAGUGGGGAAUAUUGCACAAUGGGCGGAAGCCUGAUGCAGCGACGCCGCGUGGGGGAUGACGGCCUUCGGGUUGUAAACUCCUUUCACCAUCGACGAAGGGUUUCUGACGGUAGAUGGAGAAGAAGCACCGGCUAACUACGUGCCAGCAGCCGCGGUAAUACGUAGGGUGCGAGCGUUGUCCGGAAUUACUGGGCGUAAAGAGCUCGUAGGUGGUUUUGUCGCGUCGUCUGUGAAAUUCCGGGGCUUAACUCCGGGCGUGCAGGCGAUACGGGCAUAACUUGAGUACUGGUAAGGGGAGACUGGGAGUUUCCUGGUGGUAGCGGUGAAAUGCUCAAAUAUCUGGAGGAACACCGGUCGGCAAAGGGGGGUCUCCUGGGAUUAACUGGGAGUGGGGAGUCAAACCGUGGGGGGAGAAGAUGGAUAUAUGACC